rnacentral:lncRNA from 1 species
CUGGGAGAGAAGUCCGUUUACCAUAAGGAAUCAAGAAGCAUUUGUGAUUGGGACACAGGUGAAAUAUCAGUGCAAGCCUGGCUAUCGACCAGCUCCGCAUGAGCCUCAGGCUGCCAUCUGUCAGGAAAAUUUGACAUGGGCAGUUUCCAAAGGGUGUGAAAGGAUUCUACAGUGGUUCAACUCCAAUGACAACCAUGAUUGAUAAGAAAAUAACAGUUCCCUGGCCAUAUUACAAAUUCCAAGGUGCUUGAUAUAUGUGAGAAGAUUAUUAAAUUAAAUCUACUACUCUAAUUAUAAUACUGGUAUAACUGAUCUUCUGGGUGUUCAACAACUGAGGUUUAAGAGACCAGAGCUGAAAAGGUACAUUGGUCAAGAGGACAGUCAAUAUUUUGGCCCUGGCCCUCCAAAGUCAACAAGCACCCUAAACAUAAGAGGAUUUCUUCUACAUGAUCCUAUAACCUUGAACAUUUACUUGGAAAUGACCGUUGCUGUGCUUUCUGAGUACCCACGGGUUGAAGCCUUGAGAAGAG